CCAGGCAAAGUGAGAUCCCUGAAGGAGGGAGGCGGGUUUAGAUGGGCGACGGUGUCCAGUGCAAUAAUGACUGCAGGUCUCCUCUAGCUGAUCUAUAACCGCCGCAUGGCCCACUCAUCGUGGCAGGUGGCUGAAAGUGGCAGAAAUUUCACUAUAUCUAGAGCAGUGCUCCAGCAAAAAUUUUGAGAAAAUCUUUUCGGGUCACCUCGAUUUGAAAAGACUCCAGCACCAGCUCGCCAAAUGCCAAAAUAUCUAGAAACAAUCGAGUACGAA
rnacentral:lncRNA from 1 species